GACGAACGCUGGCGGCGUGCUUAACACAUGCAAGUCGAACGGAAAGGCCCUGCUUUUGUGGGGUGCUCGAGUGGCGAACGGGUGAGUAACACGUGAGUAACCUGCCCUUGACUUUGGGAUAACUUCAGGAAACUGGGGCUAAUACCGGAUAGGAGCUCCUGCUGCAUGGUGGGGGUUGGAAAGUUUCGGCGGUUGGGGAUGGACUCGCGGCUUAUCAGCUUGUUGGUGGGGUAGUGGCUUACCAAGGCUUUGACGGGUAGCCGGCCUGAGAGGGUGACCGGCCACAUUGGGACUGAGAUACGGCCCAGACUCCUACGGGAGGCAGCAGUGGGGAAUAUUGCACAAUGGGCGGAAGCCUGAUGCAGCAACGCCGCGUGCGGGAUGACGGCCUUCGGGUUGUAAACCGCUUUCGCCUGUGACGAAGCGGGAGUGACGGUAACGGGUAAAGAAGCACCGGCUAACUACGUG
rnacentral:rRNA from 1 species